rnacentral:rRNA from 1 species
CAGCCGCCGCGGGAAUACAGAGGGUGCGAGCGUUAAUCGGAUUUACUGGGCGUAAAGCGUGCGUAGGCGGCUUCUUAAGUCGGAUGUGAAAUCCCUGAGCUUAACUUAGGAAUUGCAUUCGAUACUGGGAAGCUAGAGUAUGGGAGAGGAUGGUAGAAUUCCAGGUGUAGCGGUGAAAUGCGUAGAGAUCUGGAGGAAUACCGAUGGCGAAGGCAGCCAUCUGGCCUAAUACUGACGCUGAGGUACGAAAGCGUGGGGAGCAAACAGGAUUAGAUACCCCCGUAGUCCCUGUCUCUUAUAC